CUGGAGGAAUUGAGCGCUUCCAUUAGAUUUUGCAGUAUUUUCAGAAACGGGAAAAAGGAUCAAGUGUAUGUGUUUUAAAAGCACUGACAAAAAAGAGUAUAUCAAAUGAACAUAUUAUCGUUUAUACAAAGAUACCGAGUGAUUAAGUAUGGUGAAAUAUGUUUUGUAGCUUUCUUAGGGAUGUUCGCUAUAUACAUCAGUCUCUUGGAUCAAUGAUUUCAGGGAGAGAUGAAGCUUUGUUUUCUUCUCUGUGCGUGGGUUUCAAAAUCUACAACGCUGCCUUUUGCGAAAUCACUCCUUCAGAUUUAUACAGGGAGACACAUCCAGCUAUGAAAUCAGAAGCUACACCCAAGUCUUUGAUUGACGCCACUAACCAGAUUAACUAUUCAAUUGUCCUGUCACAGUGGAGGAUAUAGUUUGUCCUUUUCAGAUCUUUUUGCGGUCUGGGCUUGCUGUUCCUAGAUCCAGUAGUCAGGAAGCCCUUACCCCAAAAAGUAUUUGCAAAGGAUACAGUCGGCAAUCAGCAGAAAGGUGGAGUCGUUUCUACAAGGUCAAAUGCCUACCAUCUUCACCAAUACUGUCCAAUGAAGAAAGGAAGACCUUGCUUGUUUGUUCAGUAGUAACACAGUUUCCUUUACAUACAAAAACAAAUCAUUUUAUCUUAUUUGGACCUGCAUUUUGGAUCGCUUCCCAAUGUAUAGCUGCAUUGUGUAUAUAUGCACCGGGACAAAUGUUUGGCUCAAGGAACUGUUCUGCUCCUCAUAAAAUAAAAACUAACGUACAAAUAUUUUGUAUAAUAUUUUUGUUUUUGUUCAUGACAUUUCACCAUUUUAUAUUGGCUAUUGUUUUUCUAAUUUUUAAAAUGAAACUGAAGCCAGACUCAGGAAAUUGUCUAUAGACAGAGCUUGUUGUGACUGCUGACUGAAGAAAUGUAGUGGACAGGGCAGAAUUGUGUAGUCCUCCCAGUGGACAGGCGUGAGAUAGCACAUUUCCACAGACUACAGGAACUUCAGUUUGAGGUAUACAUGUUAUUUCCAGAUGUCAGCUUGCCAUUAUGCAAUUUACAAGUCAGUGUGCCAACAAUUACUGGGAAACAUCCCUGAAGUGUAUUAAAUGUCUGAAAAAACAGCAAAAUGCUGCAGGUUUUUGGCUCAGUCAGUUUAGGCUCAUUUAAUUUGAAAUGAAAUAACAAACCUCUUCCCAACCAAAAGAAUGUGUCCCUUUCAAGGUCACAUAAGUGACAUCCUGUUUUUAUAAUGGAAUUGGUUACCCUACCUGUGCAUAAACCCAAAGUCUGUCAUUUGUUCAAUGAUAAGCUUUAACAACAGUCAAUAUUUGAAUACUAUCAAGAUACAAUAUAUUUGUCAUUGCAUACUAGGAAUUGUAUCUGUGGUAAUUGUUGAAAACGUCAUUUCAUAAAUUUUAAUUUGGAAAAUAUUUUGACAUACUACUUCAAGAGGCUUUUUUAAAAAGUGUUUUAAAGAAGUCCACAUAAAUACAAAUCAGCUCCACUGAGUAAUGGCAGCUAUCUUGCUCAGAUAUACAUUCUUGUGGCAUCAUAUAGCCUUAGGUUCUAAAGCUCCCCCAGGCGAAGCUCAUUAAAUCAGAGAAAAACAGCUUGGCUCUUUACUUUGAUGCCCAGAGCAGAUUUUAAUUGCCAAAAAGCAGAUUAAUUCUAAUUAAUAUGAGUUAACAGAUUCAUGUAUAAUCAAAUUACAUAACCGAAAAUGGGAGAUGAUGAUGUCAUGUAACUGUAAGGGAGAAACAUUAAAGUGUAAGGAAUUGUAAGGAAUUUUUAACAUACUGUGUUCCCCCAUUACUUUUUUUUCUCACAUUAAUCUAGUACACUAAAAAGCCUAAUGAUAGACCCAUAUAUUUGUACCAGCAUACACGGAGAUAGCACCACAUUGAUUAGGUUAGAAAUGGAAUUUUGGUUCAUGCUUCUGUGCAAUAAUACAUUAUAAUCUAUUACCAAGGUCUAUGGAUUAUGUGGUAAAAAGAUAUUCUUUAUGGUAAAUAAAUUAGAAAGUUCAUUAUCCUUGAUUAUUAUAUGAUGCAUAUCCUAAUGGGUUCUCAUCUUGGCAAAAAUAAUUAUGGAUGUGGAUUGGUUAAUUUAAAUCAGACCCAUAUGGAUGAUUAGCUAAUUUCCAAGAGAGCUAUUUGUUCUGUAUAUCCUAUAGCAAUUUCCCCAGAGAAGCUGAAGGUGCCCAGUGCAAGACAUUCUUUAACUGCUGUGGAAAGGGUAAGAGAAGAGUCUGUUCUCCUUUUGGGCUGGGGAGAAGUCACAUAGUGACAUUCAAAAAAAGGUUAGUGUAGGAUUUGUGUGUAUCUGAGCAAUAUGUUAUCUUAUAUUUCUGGCUGGGGCAUUGUUCCAUGUCUAAUAAGGCAACUUCUAUACAGUAUAAAAUCAGCAGCAGUACCAUCUGUGAGGCUAUGGAACACUAAACAGGUGAUCAUUUUGUCUGCUGAUCUUUUUAAUUGUCACUCCCUGUUGACUGUAGUAACCACUACCUGUCUGUGGUAUUUAAAUGGCAUACACAUGGCUGUAGAAAUGUCUUCCAUCUUUUGUAUAUCAGGAAUAAAUGGUUUAUACAGUUUUGUUUUUGUUAUCAAAUACAUUCAUUCUAUAUGCAUCAUUUUGUUGGAGGGAUUAAGCAAACAAUUAUGUACUGUUUUGAUGGGAUUUAUAUGCUGUUUGGAUAUACUGAGGUGCAGGUGUAGCUGAGAAUAUAACACAAUCUGUAUAAACAUUUAAACAGAUUAAAUUAUGGAUUAAAUCUCUUUUUAAAAAAUCACAAAGGGAGGACAGCAUUAGUGUGCUAUAAAAUAUCUCACGAAUGAAGAGUUUCAGCAUGUGUAUCUUCAUUAGAUGCCUGUGAAUAAAGCAGAUAACUGUAAAAGUUAAUGGGGGUGAUAGUGUGUUCACUAUUGCUAUUAGCCUUCUGCUCUAUUCACACAUGAAGGCAGUGGUUUUGCUUUAUAUUUGCCCAACAUGUAUUUGAAUACAUUUUCAUAAAUGGUCGCUAUACACAAUCCAAAUAGUAUUUCAAGGGUCAGCAAGAGGAAUACAUAGUAGCCUUCGAUCUGGAUGCAGCAGAGCUUGUUCAAUAUUAAAGUGAAAAUAGUUUAAUUCAAAGAAGAGGAUUACAAUGUUAAGAAAGGUUCUGUCAACUUCAAAUGCACCUCUGGAAAAAAAGAAUAAAGUGUGAACUGGAGUGAAAUCAUUUGUAAGGAGAAACAGGGUACAAUGAUGAAUGGUUUUAUUUUAUUUCAUUUUAGACCUGUCUUUUUGUUACAGUUUUCCCACAAGAACCUUGAGGACUUGCUAUUUAACUUGCUUAGAGAGAAUGAGAUCUUUCAAAUUCGUUGUAACUGAAUCCAGCAACGCUUACCUUGGGAAUCUCAGCCUUGGCCCCACUAUAUCAGGCAGUGUAUCAGUCAUUGCACUACCUAUUUAUUACAGACUGCUCAGGAUCUUUCAGCCAAUCGGAGCGGACAUUUUGCUUUUUGUAUUCCACAACAUAUCACUGACAAAGCCUAUUCAUGACAUCAGCUGUGUAACUUUCAGUUUUUACCACGCAGUAUUUUCCCUAUCAGCAUAGUUGAAGUCUCCUGCUUUAAAAAUCAUACCUGAGGCACCCCUCGGAAUUCCAUUCAACUGCAGAGUCAGUUGGAAUGGUGACAUCACAAUCGGCUGAGUACCUCAACCACUUAACGAUAUUCUCUUCAUUAACCUUCUCCCUUUCUUCAAUGAAACUGAUAAUUAACUAAAUAAAGGUUUAAGCCUCGGUCCGUUCACUUCUACUUAUGCCGAUAUUCCGCCAUACACAGACG